UGGAUAUUGAAAGAUAACUAAUACACUCAAAUUGGAACGACAGAGAGAUUGGCAUCACCCCUGUAGGAGGGUGACAGGCAUGUAAGUUAGUGAAGCAUUUCAUGUUUUU
rnacentral:snRNA from 1 species